CCAUAUGCCGCAGGAGUGGCCCAAGAAAUAGCAAAAAGACCAAAAAAAAAAAAAAAUAAGAGAGAGAGAUAGAUAUAGCUAUUAUAUAUUUACAUAACAAGGAAAAUAGCAAAGACACACACCAAAAUAUUAAUGCUCAUCAUGUCUGAAUAAUGUAAUUGGUGUCAGUCUUCUUCAAAUUCUUGGUAUUUUCCAAAAUAUGCUUCCACUAAUUUUUGGUUGUAUAACAGACUGAAGUUUGAGAAAGGUAAGAUACAUUUGCUUUGUUUCUUCUUUUUAAAAAAAUGGCUAAUCACGUAAAGAAAGAUAUAUACAGUCAUCUCCUUAACUCAAAAUUCACUGGCACCACUUUGUUUUGUAGAAAAGUAUUAGUUAAUGUUUAAAGCAAUUAGAAACAGGAGUUCCUGUUGUGGCUCAGCAAUUUAACGUCUCUGCAAGGAUGCAGGUUUGAUCCCUGGCCUCACUCAGUGGGGUAAGGAUCCAACAUUGCCACAAUCUGUGGUAUAGGAUGCUGAGGCAGCUCAUUUUGGUGUUGCCCUGGCUCUGGUGUGGGCCUCAGCUGCAGUUCUGUUUCAACCCCUAACCCAGGAACUUCCAAAUGCUACAGGUGUGACCAUAAAAAAGAGAAAAAAUAAAAAUAAAAAAAUAAAACAAUUGGAAACAAAUUUCAUGUUAUUUUGCCCCAAAUUUUUAUUUGUUAAUGUUUGGAAAUGUUAGAUUCCAUAAUAUAACCUGCAUUUUUUAUUUGUGAGCUUACAUAUGUCAUAUUUCCACCGUUAGUGAUCCUAAUCUACACAGAUCAUUAUUGAUAAAUUUUUUUCAAAUUUACUAUUUACAACAUUUUAAAUUUCUUGUGUUAAAACAUUAUUUCAGUGUAAAAAGAUUGACUUCAAUUAUAACAAUUUGUUAAACUAUCAUAUGCUUAUUAAAUGAUCAUUUGGCAAUGUUUUAUAGUUUAUUUUGCCCUUUUAGCUUUAAAAUAAGUAGAGUUAAGCUUAUCUACAAAUAUCACUUUAAACCAGGGUUUCUCGACACUGACACUACUGACUUUGGAUUAGGUAAUUCUUUGUCAUGAGGUGCUGAGUUAAGGUUAGAGUGACAGAGUUGGAAAGUGUUUCUUCUACAAAAAAGGGAUUGUGGAAGACAGACUUCAGAGCCUAGUAAUUCAUGUCAUUUACUGAACUGUAUCACUGUUUCAAAGUCUCAAAAAAUCUUUUGAUGAUGUGAGUGUUCAAAUCUUGAUUUAGGGAACUAAAUUUGCCUUGAAGUUUCCUUCUGACUCCAAACGGGACUUCCAUCUCAAAGAUCACAAAGAAAACAUGGUAAUAAUAAAGUCUCACAUCCAGAAUAAUAUUUUAAUAGAGACCAACUCCUUCAGAAUUGCCUAGAGUGCAGAUAACUGUUAAAAACAGUAAUAUUUGGGGACCAUUACUUAGAAUUUCCAAAAGUCUAAGCAUUUCUUUAGGCAUGCUAAAGAGUUCUAAUUUUAUGUAAGUUUCCUUAAGUCAUUUUAGAAGUGUUCAGAACACUGAACAGAACCUCCAAACAGACUUGGAGAUGAACCUCAUGAAAAGACACAGAUCAUAACAAUUAAAGUAUAUUUUACUGUGGACAUCAGCCCUUGUGAUGAUGCUUUGAUGUUAUUUUGGAAGGUCUUCUAGGAUUUAGUGUCAAUCAGCAUUUAGGUGACACUAAAUUUUUCACUCUGGAAAGUUACCCCAACAUAAAAAAGUUUUAUACACUCACAUACAUCUGUACAAAAGAACAAAUCACUGCAAAUGAAGAAAUUCCUAUAACAAAAUAUGGUAACAAGAUGGCCUAAUAGUUUACCAUCUCUCUAUUCUCUACUUAAAAUAGUCUCAUUGACAGCACCAUUAUAAGUAGAUUUGAGACAUGGUUGUCUACUCUCAGUAAGCCAGAAGGAAUCACAACUAACAUUUACAUCUAAAUUUCUUUUAAGUCUUCUGCUGUCAGAGAACAUAUAAAAUUGAUGUAGGCUUUUGGCUCCUUCCUCCAAAUCAGUCUUAGAAAUACAAAAUAAAUAAAAAGAGAUUGAUAGAUCAAAGAAUAAAAUGUAAAACUAUGCGGCACUUUCAGCAAGGAAGAAACUGGUUAUUUCUUAGUGUGUGUAAAAAUGAGCAGCAUAAAAAGCUGGCUAAAUAGCCAACAUGUGGAAUACUGCAGAAAUCUCUUAGUUGUCUUUUCUUUUCCCUAUAUUUGCUAUGUAGGUCUCUGACUCCCUUAAAAAUGAGAAGGUGCCUAUGAUGGUUAAUUGCAUAUAUCAACUUGGCUAGGCUAUAACACUCUUACUUAAUCAAACACUAAUUUAGGUGUUUCUGUGAAGGCAUUUUGUAGAUGUGGUUAAUAUCUACAAUCAGUUGACAUUAAGUAAAGGAAGUUAUCCUCAACUAGAAGAAGAAAUUCUGGGAGUUCCCAUUGUGGCUUAGCAGUAACGGACCCAACUAUUAUCCAUGAGGAUGUGGGUUUGAUCCCUGGCCCCUUUCAGUAGGUUAAGGAUCCAGUGUUGCAGUGAGCUAUGGUGUAGAUCGCAGAUAUGGCUUGGAUCCUGCAUUGCUGUGGCUGUGGUGUAGGUAGGCAGCUAUAGCUCUAAUCCAACCCCUAGCCUGGGAGACUCCAUAUGCUUCAGGUGUAGCCCUAAAAAGAAAGAUAAAAGUACUGUAGUACUGUAUUUUUUGACAAAAUUCUGAAUCUGCAUAUAAGUGGAUCUGUGCAGUUCAAAGCCAUGUUGUUCAAAAGUCAGCUGUAAGUGAAAACAUUUUCUUGAAAAAGAAAACUUUAAGACUGAUUCUGGUUUAUUAAGAAACUCAAAUUCAGGAAGAUCUCUUUUCUCUCUUUUUUCCUAUUCUCUCAAAGAAAAAAAAUAGUUGAAUACAAUACAAAGCUUACAUGAGUAAGAAAAAAAAAAUAUUGACCCGUUUACUUAUUUAAACUAGCUUUUUCUUCUCUCUCCCUCCAACGCACGUUCCAAGUAAUCAAACCUAGAAUUCUUUUCUAUAUUACAAACCAAGUAUGUUAUCUCUUGAUGAAUAAAAAUCAAUUUUAAUUAUUAAAAAAAUAGUUUUUCUUAAUUGGUUCCAUGAUUUCUGUAAUUUGUUCUCUAACCAGAUUAGAUUUAAAGGCACUGAUGACCAUAUUUCCAUCCCUUCGAUAAGUGGUAUUGGGAAAACUGAACAGCUAAUGUAAAGAAUGAAAUUAGAAUAUUCUCUAACCCCAUACACAAAAAUAAACUCAAAAUGGGUUAAAAAUGUAAAUGUAAGUCUAAAUACUAUAGAACUCUUAGAGGAAAACAUAGGCAGAACAUUCUGACAUAAAUGGCAGCAAUGUCUUUUUGGAUCUGUCUCCUAGAGCAAUGGAAAUAAAAACAAAAAUAAACCAAUGGGACUUAAGUAAACUUCAAAGCUUUUGCACAAAGGAAACCAUAAACAAAACAAAAAGAUGACCUACAGAAUGGGAGAAAAUAUUUGCAAACAAUGCUGCUGACAAGGGAUUAAUCUCCAAAAUAUACAAACA
rnacentral:lncRNA from 1 species